GUCUUAUGACAAAUGCAAUGUCAGAUGCUUCGCAUUUGAACUUUGGCUAAGGACACCUAACAAACCUAAAUGUAUUAUCACCCUGAAAACAUCCCAUGAUACAUCACUGCCAACAACAUCAUGAUACAAGUGCUGGGGAAAACAACAAAGUGCCACACAAACACUUCUCAUCUUCUCAGCACAUGACACAAGAGCAACUUACAAUUUAGCCCCUCACAGCAAACAGUGAACCUGAAGAAACUUUCCAUUUCCUCUAAAGGGAUCUUCACCCAGCUCUUGCAGAGGUGUGAGUGCUGCAGUUAGGAACGUGACGCUGUUUCUCAGUCACGCCCAUCUGAGAUGCACAACAAAGCUGCUCACUCGAACACAAACACAUUACACAUCUAUCUCUUAUCUCACCUGUGAUUUCAGGCACAAGCAUUUAUCAUCAGAUUUUCA